rnacentral:rRNA from 1 species
UUUAUUGGGGUUGCGGACAUAUCAUAACGAAGAGGUAUCGUAAUUGAAGAGGUUUGGAAAGACCCACCACAGAAGGUAAUAGUCCUGUAUGUUAAACGAGAAGACUUUAGAUAUGAUCCAGAGUACCACGGGACACGUGAAACCCUGUGGGAAGCAGGAGGGACCACCCUCCAAGGCUAAAUACUACCUAGUGACCGAUAGCGUAUAGUACCGUGAGGGAAAGGUGAAAAGAACCCCGGGAGGGGAGUGAAAUAGAACCUGAAACCCUGCACUUACAAGCUGUGGAAGCACAUUUCUUGUGUGACCGCGUACUUUUUGUAGAACGGGCCAACGAGUUACGUUAAGUAGCAAGGUUAAGCACUUAAGGUGCGGAGCCGUAGCGAAAGCGUAGUUUUAACUGAGCGUUCAGUUACUUGACGUACGAACCCGGAAACCGGGCGACCCUACCCAUGAGCAGGAUGAAGCGAAAGUAAAAUUUCGUGGAGGUCCGAACCCACGAGCGUUGAAAAGCUCGGGGAUGACUUGUGGGUAGCGGUGAAAUUCCAAUCGAGCCCGGAGAUAGCUGGUUCUCCCCGAAAUAGCUUUAGGGCUAGCCUCAAGGUGAGAGAUACGGAGGUAGAGCACUGAAUGUCCUAGGGGGUAUUGCACCUACCGAAGACUAUCAAACUCCGAAUGCCGUCAUCUUAUACUUGGGAGUCAGACUGUGGGUGAUAAGAUUCAUAGUCGAAAGGGCAACAGCCCAGAUCGUCAGCUAAGGUCCCUAAAUGUAAGUUAAGUGGUAAAGGAUGUGGGAUUGCACAGACAACCAGGAUGUUGGCUUAGAAGCAGCCACUCAUUCAAAGAGUGCGUAAUAGCUCACUGGUCGAGUGAUCCUGCGCCGAAGAUUUCCGGGGCUAAAACUUACUACCGAAGCUACGGCAUCAGUAAUGAUGGGUAGGGGAGCUUCCCAUACGGGUUGAAGCAUGACCGUAAGGACAUGUGGACAGUAUGGGAGUGAGAAUGUUGGCAUGAGUAGCGAGAUGUGGGUGAGAAUCCCACAGGCCGUAAACCCAAGGUUUCCAGGGGAAGGUUCGUCCGCCCUGGGUUAGUCGGGACCUAAGCUGAGGCCGAAAGGCGUAGGUGAUGGACAACAGGUUGAUAUUCCUGUACUACCGAUAACCGUUUGAGAGAAGGGAUGACACAGUAGGAUAAGCUAAGCACACUGUUGGUUAUGUGUGCCCAAGCAUUGAGGCAGUCAAAGUAGGCAAAUCCGCUUUGAUAAUGCUGGGAUGUGAUAGGGAGCGAAAUUUAGUAGCGAAGUAGCUGAUUUCACACUGUCAAGAAAAGUCUCUAUCGAGGUUAAAGGUACCCGUACCGCAAACCGACACAGGUGGGUGAGGAGAGUAUCCUAAGGCCAGCGAGAGAACUGUUGUUAAUGAACUCGGCAAAAUGACCCCGUAACUUAGGGAUAAGGGGUGCCACCAUCAGGUGGCCGCAGAGAAUAGGCCCAAGCGACUGUUUACCAAAACAUAGGUUUCUGCUAAGUCGCAAGACGAUGUAUAGGAGCUGACGCCUGCCCGGUGCUGGAAGGUUAAGGGGAUCUGUUAGAGCAAUCGAAGCAGUGAACUUAAGCCCCAGUAAACGGCGGCCGUAACUAUAACGGUCCUAAGGUAGCGAAAUUCCUUGUCGGGUAAGUUCCGACCCGCACGAAAGGCGUAACGAUUUGGGCACUGUCUCAACAACAGACUCGGUGAAAUUGUAAUUCCGGUGAAGAUGCCGGAUACCUGCGACAGGACGGAAAGACCCCAUGGAGCUUUACUGUAGCUUGACAUUGGGUCUUGGUACUACAUGUACAGGAUAGGUGGGAGGCUUUGAAACCAGGACGCCAGUUUUGGCGGAGCCAUCCUUGGGAUACCACCCUUGUAGUACUGGGACUCUAACCAUAGGCCAUGAAUCUGGUCUUGGGACACUGUCAGGUGGGCAGUUUGACUGGGGCGGUCGCCUCCCAAAAGGUAACGGAGGCGCUCAAAGGUUCUCUCAGUACGGUCGGAAAUCGUACGUAGAGUGUAAAGGCAAAAGAGAGCUUGAUUGCAAGACAUACAGGUCGAGCAAGGAUGAAAAUCGGACUUAGUGAUCCGGUGGUUCUGCGUGGAAGGGCCAUCGCUCAACGGAUAAAAGCUACCCUGGGGAUAACAGGCUUAUCUCCCCCAAGAGUCCACAUCGACGGGGAGGUUUGGCACCUCGAUGUCGGCUCAUCACAUCCUGGGGCUGUAGUAGGUCCCAAGGGUUGGGCUGUUCGCCCAUUAAAGUGGUACGCGAGCUGGGUUCAGAACGUCGUGAGACAGUUCGGUCCCUAUCCGUCGCAGGCGUAGGAAAUUUGAGAAGACCUGUCCUUAGUACGAGAGGACCGGGAUGGACGUACCUCUGGUGUACCAGUUGUCCUGCCAAGGGCAUGGCUGGGUAGCUAUGUACGGAAUGGAUAAGCGCUGAAAGCAUCUAAGCGCGAAGCCAACUUCAAGAUAAGAUUUCCCACCGCAAGGGUAAGACCCCAGAAAGACUAUCUGGUUGAUAGGUCGAAGGUGUAAGUGCAGCAAUGUAUUUAGCUUAUCGAUACUAAUAGGUCGAGGACUUGACCAA